GACGGCUCUUUGCUAGGAGUGGGCUGGACCGGACGCCAGAGACAAAGGCUCUCCAGGCAAGAGGGACUCGGCCCUGCGACGGCGUUGCUCGGGAUUUUUGACCCAGGACUUUUCGCUCCUUCGUUUUUCUCUUCUGACGCUUUUCUUAUCCCAACCCGCGCCCCCUCACCCGCGACCUCGCUCCUCACCGGAGGGCCGCGAUGGAGGUCCCGCCCCGGCUUUCCCAUGUGCCGCCGCCAUUGUUCCCCUCCGCUCCCGCUACUUUAGCCUCCCGUAGCCUCUCCCAUUGGCGGCCGCGGGCGCCGCGACAGCUCGCCCCGCUCCUCCCUUCACUCGCUCCCAGCUCCGCGCGGCAGGGGGCGCGCCGGGCCCAGCGCCACGUCACUGCCCAGCAGCCCUCCCGAUUGGCGGGCGGGGCAGCUAUAAAGGGAGGGCGCAGGCGGCGCCCGGAUCUCUUCCGCCGCCAUUUUAAAUCCAGCUCCAUACAACGCUCAGCCGCCGCUGCUGCCGCGACUCGGACUGCGCGCCAGCACCCCCCGGCCGACAACUCCGCCACUAUGGAGGACAUGAACGAGUAUAGCAACAUAGAGGAAUUCGCAGAGGGAUCCAAGAUCAACGCAAGCAAAAAUCAGCAGGAUGACGGUAAAAUGUUUAUUGGAGGCUUGAGCUGGGACACAAGCAAGAAAGAUCUGACUGAAUAUUUGUCUCGAUUUGGGGAAGUUGUAGACUGCACAAUUAAAACAGAUCCAGUCACCGGAAGAUCAAGAGGAUUUGGAUUUGUGCUUUUUAAAGAUGCUGCUAGUGUUGAUAAGGUUUUGGAACUGAAGGAACACAAACUGGAUGGCAAAUUGAUAGACCCCAAAAGGGCCAAAGCUUUAAAAGGAAAGGAACCUCCCAAAAAGGUUUUUGUGGGUGGAUUGAGCCCAGACACUUCUGAAGAACAAAUUAAAGAAUAUUUUGGAGCAUUUGGAGAGAUUGAAAAUAUUGAACUUCCCAUGGACACAAAAACAAAUGAAAGAAGAGGAUUUUGUUUUAUCACAUACACAGAUGAAGAGCCAGUAAAGAAAUUGUUAGAAAGCAGAUACCAUCAAAUUGGUUCUGGGAAGUGUGAAAUCAAAGUUGCACAACCCAAAGAGGUAUAUAGGCAGCAACAGCAACAACAAAAAGGAGGAAGAGGUGCUGCAGCUGGUGGACGAGGUGGUACUAGGGGUCGUGGCCGAGGUCAGGGCCAAAACUGGAACCAAGGAUUUAAUAACUAUUAUGAUCAAGGAUAUGGAAAUUACAAUAGUGCCUAUGGUGGUGAUCAAAACUAUAGUGGCUAUGGCGGCUAUGAUUAUACUGGGUAUAACUAUGGGAACUAUGGAUAUGGACAGGGAUAUGCAGACUACAGUGGCCAACAGAGCACUUACGGCAAGGCAUCUCGAGGGGGUGGCAAUCACCAAAACAAUUAUCAGCCAUACUAAAGGAGGACAUUGGGGAGAAAACAGCGGGAACUUCAUUGCAGGCCGUGUGUCACCCUGACCACGUCUAUCUCUGGGGGUCGCACGUUGCGGGCAGAGCGCAAGGCAUACACCAGAAAACGCUGUCCUGUGGAGGAGAUUGCUAAAGUAACCCAUCUUGCAGGACGACAUUGAAGAGAUUGGUCUUCUGUUGAUCUAAGAUGAUUAUUUUGUAAAAGACUUUCUAGUGUACAAGACACAACCGUGUCCAACUGUAUAUAGCCGCCAAUUAGUUUUCUUUGUUUUUACUUUGUCUUUUGCUAUCUGUGUUAUGACUCAAUGUGGAUUUGUGUUUAUACAAAUUUUAUUUGUAUGAUGUCAUGUUAAACCUCAAAUAAAUGCUUCCUUAUGUGAUUGUUUUUCUGCGUCAGGUACUAAAUAGCUCUGUAAAAGUGUAAUUUUAAAUAAGCAAUAAUUAAGGCACAGUUUAUUUUGUUAGGAGUAUUGGUCCAUAGGGAGAAAUUGUGGUCCUUAUGAAUAGCCAGCUACUGUGUCACCAUGUUCCCCAUUUUUGUUAGAUGUAUUUUGUGCUCUCAGUCUUCAUUUCCCUGUUAACUGAGGCUUUCACGACACUUAGAAAUAAUGUGCUUUCCUCUGUAUAUCUGGAGACUGCCGUGAAAGUCUCUGUGUUACAGUGUUGUGAUUAGCGGAAGCUUUCUAGUAGACCAUGAUUCUUCUGGAUUAUUUUCUGAAGAAAAGUACCAGGUAAAGGGCACAAAGCAUACUUGGUAGCUCCUUUUAAAAUGAAUAGGAAAGAUUUUGCUGUGUUUCGGUCUCUGGAAAGCCUUUAUGAUUUGCUAAAUAUUUUUAAAUCAGUGGUCUGCUGAAAAAGACCUUAGAAUAAUCAUAAUACCAUGACUUUAAUUGUUCUCUUGACAAAAAUGUCCAGAUACACCCAGGGAAAAAGUACUGUUAAACUGGUAGGAGCUACAAUUUGAGAGUAUCAAAAAUAGUUAUCACAAGGAUAGGUAUGGGUUUGUUAAAGUAUUUGAAGUAGUGGGUGAGUAAGUUAGUUGUAUUCUGUUCAUGUGUCACAGCAAGCACCAAACUGGACAGUUUAUUGGGGUAUUAGGAAGCAAUACUGGAUAGUAACGUGGUGUGAGCUCUUAGAAAAAGCCACGGUAGUAUGUUUCAUCAUUUUUAAUGCAAUUAGUGCAUGAACCAAAUCGAUAAGCAUAUCCAUAUUCAGAUACAGAAAGGAAUAAUCAGAACAGGUAUGCUUUAAAUCUUACAUAAGUUAAUGCAAAUCUAAGUGACCAAGUUAUGUCAUUACAGCAGAUCUUAGUGGUGCAUUAAACAGUUUUAGCUCUAGAUUUUGGAAGAUUUCCUGGGUAAAAAUCUUAAGUUUUUUACAUUCAGUGUAGUUAACUGGAUUUAAGGUUUUUUUAAGUGUUUCUAUGAUUCCAUGUUACCCACUAGGAUUGGCAUUCAUGUUCUUAUGUGGAAUAGUCGACCCUCACUUUUCAACUAAAGUGUAAACUUUUCUGCUGAUGAACCUGCCUUUUGUUUUAUUGGGUGCCUGCAACUUCUAAUAUUUGUACUUGUUGGGCUAUCAAGUUACAAUGCUUUUGGCCUUGUUUUGCUCCUGUUUUGCUAUCUUGAUCUUAAACCUAAGCCAAGUACCAGUGUUGGCUAUUGCAGGGGAUUUUGUUUGUGCUUUCAUCAUACAACCCCAGGGAACAGAAGGGAUAUUUUCAUUUUAAGUUAUGUUGUCAAAGUCAGUAGGUGCAGUGUCUUUAGGGCAGUGAAUCCUGUAAAUUUAUGAUUAGGUGACAGGUUGACAUUGAAAUUGUCCUUUCCCUGAUCAAAAAUGAAUAAAGACUUUUUAAACAAAAUCCAAACUCUUCAAUCAAGUCUUGAUAUAUACGACUUAAGAAAUACACUGCAUCUAGAGAUAAUUGUCAGAUCUUGUACAAAGAAUUGAAGGAGUGAGAGUGCACUUAUUUUUUCCCCGAGGGGCUUUGGACCCUAGACUUCAGAUUUUAGGUCCUAAAAAUGCCAACUGAUAACAAAGUUGAAAUAAAUAUGCCAAGGCUAAGUGCUGUGGACAACGUUAUGAUGAGUAGUCAAGUUAGUAUCAAGACUUCAUUCUUAAAUAUUCAGAACUAAGCUAAGUGAUUGGAUAAGUUAAUUGAAGGGGUGGAGGUGGAAAAUCUCAGGUACCUAUGAUAAAUAGACUAUCUUGUAUACCUUGUUAAAUAUGCUUCCUGAAUUGUUUUAACCAUGUUCUCUGGUGUUAUCCUAACCUUAAUAGCAGUUUCGUUGAUUGGUAUUCCAUAGUCUCACAGCUAUGUUCAUAAGAUUAGGAAUAUUAAAAAUUAAGAUGUCAGGGUAUUAAACAUGGAUAGGCAGUGCUUUUAUUCCCUUUGAUGUAUCUUUCAUAAUGGUGAUAGGAACCAAACCUUUUGCUAAUCUUAAUAUCUGAAAAAUUACCCAUUACCUUAAGAUUUGAUAGGAUGUCAACUGCAAGGUGCUAAAUUUCACUGAUUAAAAAGGUGAUUCAAGUACACAGCAGGUAUGUAAUUUUUGCUUAUAGAUGAGUGUGUUUAUACCAUUUGAAUUGAUCCUAGCAUUAAGUAAAAUCUGUUAUUCUCAACAUGCCUCAAACUUUCCAACCUAAUAGAACUGCCAUCUACUGUAGUAUCAACUUGCUGAGUAAAACCAAUGCAACUUGAUCUGGUAUAUAGUCUUUCAAAAGUGUAUUGGCCAUAAAAAUACGGGCUGUUCAUUGGCUGCAGAAGGGGAGUGGUUUUAUUAUUUUUGUAUUGAAAUAGUCACGUUGGAUGUAGAAUUUUAGCAAGUUUUGGUUGAAUACAAAAUCCCUUUUCAACCACUGCUUUUUAUAAACGAAAGAAUAGUGGUGGUCUGGGGAUUAUAGGGUAAUGCUGAACAUUUCUGAAGACAAGUGUUACUUUAAGGGGCAGUUUAUAAUCUCGAUUUUACUCUAUCAGUACUUAAGAGGUGUACCACAUGGGGAGGCAUAUCCUAAUCAGGGUGGUGGGACUGAGGUGUAGUUUGAAAAGGAUAUUCGACGCAAUCUCUCAUAAAAUCUAGGAAUUUCAAAAAAUGCUUAAUUGUGGUUUAUCAAAGAAAGACCCCUAAGAAGUAAUGUGAGAAACACUAUCCUGCAGACAAAUUUUCUCGUAUUCCAAUGGUUAUCCUUUUGAGACUGAAAAAAAUGAAUUCAGGCCAAAAAAAAAAGUCUAUACAUAAAUAUUUAAAAUAGUUUCAGAUUUCUCUGAAAGCCAUCUAGUUUAAAAAGCUUGAAGUUGGUUGCUUUUAUGGUAACAAACUGACUAAAAUUCAUUGACUUUUUGCUGUCAUUGAGGUUGCAAAAGGAGUUUCUGCAGAUGGUACUUGGGUAUUUACUGUGUUUCUCUGAAAAUAAGACCUAGCUGGACAAUCAGCUCUAAUGCAUCUUUUGCAGCAAAAGUUAAUGUAGGACUGGAUCUUAUGACUGGGUCUUAUAUUAAUUUUCGCUCCAAAAGAUGCAUUAGAGCUGAUUGUCUGGCUAAGUCUUAUUUUCGGGGAAACGGUAUGUAGUGAUUGUUAUAUUAAUGAGAUGGUAAUGGCCAAUCCCACAAAAGGCCCUGUGCAAAGUGCAAAACAUUGAUUAAUCCUGAUUUUUCAAGUUGGGGAAGUUAGCUAAUUUAAAAUACCAACUCCUUACGUUUUGGAAGCUUAAAUUUCUAUAAAGCUUCUAUUAUUAAACUCAAGCAUUUCUGAGGCCUAGAUUUUGAACAGAGGUGUUUGUUCUGGGAAUGAAGUUGAAGCAUUUAGACUGGUGAGCAGUCUUUUUCUUUUUUUUUGAGGGCACAGCUCACAGUGGUCCAUGCGGGUAUGGAACCAGCAAUUUUGGUGUUACAAGCACCACGCUCUAACCAACAGACCUAACCGGCCACCCCAGCAAUCUUUUUAAUACAGUUAAUUUGUGGGCGCUGAGGUCUUUUGCAGGAAAAUAGGAUUUUACCAUUCUUGUUCUCUGAUGAAACGAGCUUGGAUAAUCGGGAACAACUACUUGUUCCCAUGAGAAAUAUGUUCUGUGGAAUUAACAGUAAUUCUUUAGGUUGGUCCUAAACCAUGAGACAUGAACACAAGUGUUUCAUAGACCAUGCAAGCAGAAGGAUGAAUGGAGGGUAUGAUAGUGGGAGGCUACGUGGUAUUACGGCAGUUCCAACAGUUUUCAUUACCAGGAACCUUUCAAAUCUUUUCUCCCCAUGGACUAUAUGUUUUGAAUGGCUGUACCUGUCAAUUAUAUUGCUCUCAUUAUGUAAUGACAUUUUUAUUAAAAGCCUAUAGCUGUCGGUCA